ensembl:lncRNA
GAGACACAGGCAUUAGAGCCUCUUAAUGCUUGUUUUGUUUGGGUUUCCACCAGAGUGGAAUUAACAAAAAAUAGAGAGGGCAUAGCCUAACAUACGAAAUAGGAAAAUAAUGAUGUGUAAUCUAUUUAUUUCAACAAAAAAACUGUAUUCUGAAUACCACCUAUUUACACAGUAACUGUAACGGAAUACAGUUACUCGUAUUUUAAAUACGUGACAGUGUUACAUGUAUUUCGUUACUCCCAAACACUGCAAACAUAUCUGUAGUAUUAUUAGAAUCAUGAGAUUACAACACAUUUACCUCUCCUCCACUUCUUUGAAGUGUGUCCCAGUCCUAGCGCACUGGUUAGCAUGUUUUGGUUCGUGCAACUGGUCCGUCGGGUUAUUGUCUCCCCAGGAACAUUUCUGUUGUCUUUUUUCCUAUUUCCGUUGUGCUUUGUGUGCUUUUGCAGCACUUGCUUUUCUUUUUGCAACGUUUUUUCUUUUUGCGGCAUUUUUCUUUUUGCAGUGCAGCGUUUUUCUUGAAGUUGCAGUGCAGCGUCUUUCUUUUUGCAGCGUUUUCCUUUUUGCAGCAUUUUUCUUUUUGCAAGUGUUUUCUUAAGUUGCAGUCCGUUUGGCCUCUCAGGGCCACCGUAGUUUUGUGUUGUUUCACUUUAAAUUUGUUUAAAAGGGGAAAGCUGAAAAUUUAAAUAGUUAAAAGUUGAAAUGAGAAUAGCUGGAUUUUGUAUUAUAUGAUUUAUUUAUUACAUUUUAUGUGGAGUAAAUAAAUAAAAGUAUGUUCAUGGUGGCCCCUAGAAACAAAACACGUACAAACUCCAAAACACGUAAAAACUCAGAAAGCACAUAAAAACUCAAAACACGUACAAAAGACAACAGAAGUGCUCCAGAAUGCUAGGUCCAGUGUUGAGCUUUUGUUACCUAGUGGCUAUACAAGCCAGGAAGUACCAACGACCGGAUUUGGUGUGUGGUAGUAGAAGGUAAACGAACAUUUUUUAAAAUUAUU